rnacentral:lncRNA from 1 species
GGAGUACGAAUAACUCUAGGAGCCCCUAUCCUACAACCCUGAUACUAGACCACCAGACUUUCCAAUAAAGGGGCAUGUCCUCGGAAACCCGCAUUCUAGCCAUGUUCUGCCUAAUCACCUCUCCCCAAUACCUCUUAGGCCUCCAUCUGCCUCGCCGUACACCGACCAUCGCCAGCCGCUCACAACUCCUCACCGGAGAGUCAGGACUUCUCCUCCGCACAUGCCCGAACCACCUCAGCCUCGCUUCUCGCAUCUUCUCUCCACCGGGGCCACCCCCACCUUCUCUCGAAUAACUUCAUUCUUAAUCUUAUCUAACCUGGUGAGCCCGCACAUCCAC